rnacentral:lncRNA from 1 species
GUAACUCGGUCCAUUUUAGGAGAAUCUCGAAGUUACUAAGUUGUAAAAAAUACAUGAUUAUUUAGUUCCCUCUGUUUUAUUUUUUGUACGGUUUUAGUUAUUGCAAGAAAAAUUAAAAAAGGAAGGAGAUAGAAAAAAAUCCAGUCUUGACUAAAAAAAUGAGAAAAUUUAGUAAAAAAAAAAUAAAGAGCAUUUAUCUUUAAUAGUUGGAAUAAAAAAAGCAAUCAUGCUCUAAGUAGUACAGUUUAAAGGGAUAGAUGAGCUCGUUUUGAUCUCUCAGUUAUAAUCAGAUUCUUGCAUAGCACUCAGUGUUUAGGUAGUUUUAUCUCCACAUUAAAGUAGACCGG